GUAUUUCAAGGAAGUUGCGGUUUAUGACCUCGAUUGUUGCUUCCCACCGAACGAGGGAACAUUACGUUACGAGCUCGGAUCAUUCUCGUCGAUUCCGGUGAAAUACGAUACAGGACAUUGUGGCCACCCUCUUGUAAAUUUUAUUUUGUUUGUCUCUUUUGUUUUCUUCUUCUUUUUUUUUAUUUCCUCCAUUCCUUAUUUUACCCUUACUACGAAUAAAAGUGUUACGUGGGUUGGAGGGGAGGAUGGUAAAAUCGAUCCCACGGGGACGAAGUCGUGUGAGAAUUUUUCUUUCGUUUUUAUUUCGCUACUGCAGUCUCUCUCUCUCUCUCUCUCUCUGCUUUCGAAACAAAAAAUAAGAAAAAAAAAAAAAGGAAAGAAAAUUCGACGUAUCGUAAGGUAAAAGCGUACGUCCUUGAAUAUCUCCUCGUACGAAUCCUCGAUCUCGAAUGAAACUCGAUUCUUUAUAUCGAAAAGCAACAAGGCGCAUUAUACGAGUACGAUCUAACGAUUAGAUUCAAAGAUUAGUAGUUGAUCUGUAGGGGGCCUGGCUCGAUGAAAGAAAGAGAAAUGUGGAACAUUCGUAACGAGCUAUUAAUUCGUAUUAUCCUUGAGGUAACGAGCGAGAUUACAAGGCCAACGAAGGACACCUCUCACGUUGGUGAGAGGAUAGCGGUAUAUCGCGUACGUCACGAUGACCUCGUGAUUCUUCGAUCGAUCGACCUCUUCCGGUAAAAGAUGAUAGUCAGAGAGACAAAGUGACAGACAUAUGAAGAAAGAGACAACAGAGGGAGAGAGAGAGAGAAUUAUCAGGUACUCUAUUGAAUAUACUAAUUAAAAUCGCAAACGAGAUUACAUAAGUUACCGUUGCUAUUUCCUUUACAAAAAAAAAAAGAAAAGAAAAGAAAAGAAAAGAAAUGACAGGGCAAACUAAAAGAUAAAAAUUCAUAUGAAAAGUUGUCCUUCUUCGAAACGAACAAACUAAAUGCAUUCAUCGGCGAUAGAAAGAGAACGACAUAGCGGAUUUAAAGCAUAUUUAUGCGGUCUCACAAUCACGAUUACGUAACCAUCGUAGAACUGGAAUAGCGGGAACUGGUCUCCGGCCAAUAAUUGCUGCGUCUUAAUCGGUCGAUGGUCGUCCUUCGGCGAGAGUGGUCUGAAAGAGAAACCCGGAGCUAUCUUUCACGAACGCCUUCUUUAUUUACGUUUCGCUCGCCAAUCAAUAGAGGGGAAAGAAAGAGAGAGAGAGAGAGAGAGAGAGAGAGAGAGAGAGAGAAAAAGAGGUAGAUGACGUGACCGAGAUCCUAGAUCGCUUCCUGUACGAUGAUUGAUACCAUCGAAGAAGAAGAAGAAGAAAAAGAAAAAGAAAAAGAAAAAAGGUAGUAGUUUCCAUAAAUCACAUAAAUUAUAUGCGUUCUAUUAAAUUCUAAUACUCGAUUAAUCUCCGUGAUGUCUUUGCGAGAUACGUAAAUUAAUUUCUCAUAAUUCCAUGCUUCCGAUUAAUUUCGUUAAUAUAAUAUCAUUAUCGAUCUAUCGAUCGAUCUUAAGUGCAUCAUCGAUUCAAUGUAUCGAACUCAUUCAAACAGGACAAUUCUCUUAGAAAGAUAUAUAUAUAUGCACGUUUCAUCUAAGAAUGUUUUAGUCCAUUGUAAACGAAGAAUAAAGGAAAUAUUGCGCAUUCCCUAUCCCCUUAUCCCACCCCAUCCUUCCCCCACGACCUUGUUUGUAACGUAACGACGAGCUAAUGAUUCGUCCUCUCUUAUCUCAUAUGCAAUGUGCAAUAUUAGAGGACAAAAAGCGUUUGGAAAACCUUCGGACCGACUAGAAUAAGAAAAUGUAUUAUAUAUCUCUUUGAACGAAAUGAGCUGAGGCUUUUGUAACAGGGAAUCUGCAUCUGUCCUUCGUUUUAUACAUCGUUAAUGACCUAUAAAUUCCAAUAAACAGAACGUAACGUUAGAUGGCACAUUGAUGUUACGCCUAUUUUAUUAUGACCAUGAAAUACAAAAGCGAAUGACUACCAUUGUUGUCCUAGCAAAAAAAACCUCAUUGAUAUCGAUUCGUCAAGAAGAAAGGAAGAAAGAAAAAAAUUGAUUAGGAAACUUUGAAGAACGUUCGAAGAAUGUUUAACACUCGUAAUUAAAAAAACGAUUUAAAGAGUUUCUAUAACAAUUUUAAAAGUAAACUAUGCAUAGAACAAAGAUAGAUAGAAACAGAAAGAGAGAGAGAGAGAGAGAGAGAGAGGAACAUAUAAACGCACAUAUUUACGUACAUAGAGAGAAAAUAUAGAAGAGGAGAAGUCUGGAUAAGAGGACGGGCCGCUAUGGAGAAACGAUGACGUGCGGUCGUUUGACCCUGACUUUAUUUAUGUUUCCCCAUAGCAUUAAAGGCAGUUACACACGUGCUACGAAGGCCUCCCGUCUCCUUUGUCUACGCGUUUCGUUCAACCGGCCGAGCUAACAACCUCAUUGCCAUUGGACGUCGACGAUGGCACGAGAGAGAGAGAGAGAGAAAGAGAGAGAAAGAGAAAGAGAGAAAGAAAAAGAGAGAGAAAGAGAGAGAGGGAGAGAGAGAGAGAGAGAGGGAGAGAGAUUAUAUCGUUGUCCGUGACGCGACUCCGAUAGAAUGUCCAUGCUAAUUGAAACUUUUAAUUAUCUAUUUAACUACUAUAGUAUUUAAUGUAAAAAGAAAAUCGUGAAAGGAAAGGAAAAAAAAAAAGUUAUAUCUAUCCAAUUCGAUGAAUCAAUGAAAAAAAUGUUCAAUCGAGCAAACGGCCAUAUUAAAAAGAGAUAACGAUAAACAUGACAAUUCGAUGGAAAAUGACAAUAAUUACAAUAAUAAUAAUAAUAAUUAUUAUUAUUAUUAUUAUUAUUAUAACGAUGACGAUGAUAGUAUAUAAGGAAAAAAGAAAAAAAAAAAAAAGGGAAAGAAAGAAAGUAAUAAUCGUAAAAGAUAAAUUAACGACAUAAAAUAAGAAGAACGUGAAAUGUUUUUACAAAGAGGAGGAGGAGCACAUCCACUGUUUACAGGAACUCUUCCAAGGAUAUCGAAAAAGAGAUCAGAAAUUAUUUUCACGGUUCGAUUGUAACCGGGUUGACCUCUUUCGACGAAAACAUAAUGGGGCCCGAGUUAACCGUAGAUAUAUAUUGUAGGUAUAUAUACGAAAAUAGUCUAUAGACUCACCCAAAAAGACCAGACGGAAAUGGCCUCUAAUCGAAUACUUCCUUUACGAUUUUCCUCUUAACAAUGUUAACUCAAAUUAACUCAUGUCAAAAUAAAUGAUUGCUAAGUAUAUAUUUCUUUCUCUUUUUUUUUCUUUUCUCUUUUGUUUUUUUUUUAUUUUUUAUAUUCCCGGCGAUGAUGUCAUUACGUACAAUAUGUCACAUAUAUAUAUAUAUG